rnacentral:lncRNA from 1 species
UUGCUAAUACACUAUUAGGAAUCAAAUCACUGAAGAUUUCAGCAUUUUAUUAUCACCAAAACCUUUGUUUUAGUAAAGCACAACAACAUAGUCUUCUUGAUUGUGAAAAGCUGUUGUCAGAUCAAGUCCUUUUUACGCCUCAGAUCUUAGGGCACACUAAUUCUUGAGGCCAUCUCUAAGGUCUUCUGUAGAAGGUGCUGUCUUGUUGAGAAGGAAGAAAUGGCCAAAGUGUCUGUAUCUGAAAUUUUCUGCGUUAUCUUAAAUAUCCCACAUUGAGGAUGGACAGGUAAAUUAGACAUAUGAAACAAGACAUAUUUAGUAUAUUCAACCUAUAUUUAUUAUGAAUUUUUCAUGUAGUAAUAUGAUGAUAUAAUAUGAAGUAAUUUAAGAUCCUUAUUAAGACUGAAAGAGAAAUCAGUAGUAGGCUAUGAUUUGUUUCUUUAUUUGGUGGUAUAACAGUUAGCAUUAUUAUAAAAUCUAGAGUUUUUUUUAGAUGCUUCUGCUUCUCACAGGGAAGCAACAAUAUUAAUAUUCUUGUUUAGCUUAGUAUACUAUAUGUAAUUUACAUGUGAUUUUCAGACUAGCAAUUACAAAAAGAACAAUCUACUACAAAAUAAUUACUAAGGAGUCUUUCGUGCUCAGCAUCCCAAAAGGGAAAACCCAGAAAAUAUUACCAAUACAUCAUGAGCCUCUUUGGUUUUCUUCAUUUGGAGUGAUGAAAUCAAUCAUUUGAUUGAAUUGACACAACAGUCCUUCAACUGUAUAAUCUGCUUCAAGACACUAUGUUGCUCAAUAUAACAACAUGCCAAAAUUGAAAACACUCAAAAAUUAGCUUUUGUUUCCUUUGUUUUUCAUGUUUUUGGUUUUCAUGUUUUUGGUUUGUGGGCCAUACAAUAGUAUUCAAUGUUCUCCAAGAUAAGAUACUGAUUUCUUCACAAUUCUUUCCUUUCUCAAAUUUAGCUGUACAUUGAGAUCAUCUGGAAAACUUUAAAACCUGCUGAUAUUUGAGCUCUACCCCAAGAAAUUCUGAUGUAAUGUGGAUGAAAACCUGGGCAUUGGGUCUCAUAAUAUCUCCUCCGGGUGAUUAUAAUGAGCAGCAGACUUGGCAUCCACUGGUGGGAUGCGUCUGAAUACAACAGUACCAUUUAUCUCCAGGGCAUACGUUCCAACAUCUCCAGUGAAAGCCUGAAACCAGUUCCAAACCUGACUGGCAUCAUUUGGAACACGUUUCUGUUCGUCUCUCCCAUACAGAAAUUUAAUGCCUUUUCCAUCCUAAUUAAGCGCUUAUCAUGUACUGCGGCUGUAACUUGUGCAGUUUGAAGGGCCACAGCAAAACUAGCAGGAAUUUUUUUCUUCUUUCAUGGAUCGAACGUUCUUUCUUACCAUAGAUCUUAGCAAACUCGGCAUAUGAUUUUUUUUCUUUCUCUAUUAAGUUGAAAACUUUCACCUUUUCACUUAAAGGAAACACUUUACGGCUUCUCUUUGGAAAACCCGAAUUGCCAGCAUCACUACUCUUGUGCUUUGGGGCCGUUAUGAAGUAAAAUAAGAGUUCCUUGAGCACACAGCACUUUGAUGCCCAACAGGUGAUCUGAUAACCUAGACGGUCACUAAGUGACUAAUAGUAGGUGGUGUAGACAACGUGGAGAUGCUGGACAGUGGGAAGAUUCACUCCCUUGGUGAGAUGGAGCAAAGAUGGCAUGAGAUUUCAUCGCGCUACUCAGAACUGUGUGGAAUUUCAAACUUAUCAAUUGUUUAUUUCUGGAAUUUUCCCUUCAGUGAAACCAAGGAAAGCAAUAUCACAGAUAAAGGGGAUUUCCGAAUAUAUAAACAAAAAGCAUUUACUGAAUACAAGAAUAAACUAUUUCUGCUCCUCUCUGGCUUAAAACUAUUCUGAGAGUUCCCCUUAAGAGGAUAGCACCUGUUAAAUGGAAAAGUGAUUAGCUAUUAUAAGUUUAGAAAAAACACAACAAACUACCAUAGAAUCUUUAUUCAUAAAAAUCCUUAAAACGAGAAUGAAAUAAUCACUUUCAUUCAUUUCAUACUAGCGUGUAUUGUGCCCAGUCUUUUUAAAUACGGUGUCAUCCAGGCAAAGCUGAAUGAGACAUGAAGCCUACCCUCUCUUCCUGUUCCAGAAAGCUCCUGGUUAGAAUUUUACUAAAGGAACUCCCCUUAACGUACUCUUCCUGUAAAAUUUUCUUUCUUUCUCCCUCAUCACCUUCAUUAGUUGUCUCUUUAUUUGUAUUUUGUUUGAAUGCUUGCUGGUCUUAAUUGUUGAAUAUAAUGUUUCAUUUAUUAUAAACUGCCUCA